rnacentral:rRNA from 1 species
GACGAACGCUGGCGGCGUGCUUAACACAUGCAAGUCGAGCGGUAAGGCCCUUUCGGGGGUACACGAGCGGCGAACGGGUGAGUAACACGUGGGUGACCUGCCCUCAGCUCUGGGAUAAGCCUGGGAAACCGGGUCUAAUACUGGAUAUGACUCCAUGACGCAUGUUGUGGGGUGGGAAGCCUUGUGCGGCUGAGGAUGGGCCCGCGGCCUAUCAGCUUGUUGGUGGGGUGANGGCCUACCAAGGCGACGACGGGUAGCCGGCCUGAGAGGGCGACCGGCCACACUGGGACUGAGACACGGCCCAGACUCCUACGGGAGGCAGCAGUGGGGAAUCUUGCGCAAUGGGCGAAAGCCUGACGCAGCGACGCCGCGUGAGGGAUGACGGCCUGG